AUGUUCAUUUUAGCAGCACAUACACUAAAGUUGGAAUGACACAGAGAUCAGCAUGGUCCCUGUUCAAGGAGGACACACAAAUUCAUGAAAUGAACCAUAUUUAG